rnacentral:rRNA from 1 species
CGGUUCGCAAGACUAAAACUCAAAUGAAUUGACGGGGGCCCGCACAAGCGGUGGAGCAUGUGGUUUAAUUCGAUGCAACGCGAAGAACCUUACCUGGCCUUGACGUACUAGAAACUUUCCAGAGAUGGAUUGGUGCCUUCGGGAAUCUAGAUACAGGUGCUGCAUGGCUGUCGUCAGCUCGUGUCGUGAGAUGUUGGGUUAAGUCCCGCAACGAGCGCAACCCUUUUCCUUACUUGCCAGCAUUUCGGAUGGGAACUUUAAGGAUACUGCCAGUGACAAACUGGAGGAAGGCGGGGACGACGUCAAGUCAUCAUGGCCCUUACGGCCAGGGCUACACACGUGCUACAAUGGUCGGUGCAAAGGGUUGCUACACAGCGAUGUGAUGCUAAUCUCAAAAAGCCGAUCGUAGUCCGGAUUGGAGUCUGCAACUCGACUCCAUGAAGCCGGAAUCGCUAGUAAUCGCGGAUCAGAAUGCCGCGGUGAAUACGUUCCCGGGCCUUGUACACACCGCCCGUCACACCAUGGGAGUUUGUUGCACCAGAAGUAGGUAGUCUAACCGCAAGGAGGACGCUUACCACGGUGUGGCCGAUGACUGGGGUG